AGGCAGAAAAAUAAAAUGUAGCUCCGUUGAAGGAGACUAAAUCAUACCGAUCUGAUAACAACUGUACAUAAAAAGAUCAGAAUUUCCCAGGUGUUUUACCAGGUUCCUGGACCCGGACUCCUGGACUCGGAUGAUUCAGAAAGUGAGGGAGAAGACCUGGCAAGCCCUGCUUCUCUUGAGCCCUCUCCCUCCCUGGCACCCACUCAAAGGGAGGAGGAGGGGCUGGCAAGGCCUGAUUCUCUGGAGCCUUCUUCUGAUUUGGCAACGCCCCAAGAACAGUUUUGGAGUGAUGCAAGACUGCGCAGACGUGACCGGCGUGCGCAGCAGAAGCAGCGUUGGGAUAAAGCCAAGUCAUAAUUGUCAUGCAGUGACAUCUGCAGAGACUAUAAAUAGGAGGCGGGACUUCCUGGUUUUUUGUCUUGGACAAAGCAAUGAAUUUGCACGGGCAAACUGUAUCAAUGGAGGGAAGAAUAUAUUCGUGAGUAAUUCUGGCCUUAUCUAUAAUUUCCUCGUUAUCUCCAGAAACUUGGCAGGCCCAUGGGUAGACGUGGCCAGGACAUAUAUCUAUGUAAAUAAAAGGAGAAAAGGAGGCCUCUGACUGACUCUUUGCUGGGAGUAUUGGGGGGAGGGAAACAGAACAAAACCCUUCCAUACUUCCACCUCUCACAAUACUUGACAACACAGUAUCAACAGUAGAAACCUUCAAAUUUC